GACGAACGCUGGCGGCGUGCUUAACACAUGCAAGUCGAACGGAAAGGCCCUGCUUUUGUGGGGUGCUCGAGUGGCGAACGGGUGAGUAACACGUGAGUAACCUGCCCUUGACUUUGGGAUAACUUCAGGAAACUGGGGCUAAUACCGGAUAGGAGCUCCUGCUGCAUGGUGGGGGUUGGAAAGUUUCGGCGGUUGGGGAUGGACUCGCGGCUUAUCAGCUUGUUGGUGGGGUAGUGGCUUACCAAGGCUUUGACGGGUAGCCGGCCUGAGAGGGUGACCGGCCACAUUGGGACUGAGAUACGGCCCAGACUCCUAAGGGAGGCAGCAGUGGGGAAUAUUGCACAAUGGGCGGAAGCCUGAUGCAGCAACGCCGCGUGCGGGAUGACGGCCUUCGGGUUGUAAACCGCUUUCGCCUGUGACGAAGCGUGAGUGGCGGUAAUGGGUAAAGAAGCACCGGCUAACUACGUG
rnacentral:rRNA from 1 species